rnacentral:rRNA from 1 species
AUUGAACGCUGGCGGCAGGCCUAACACAUGCAAGUCGAGCGGAUGAAGGGAGCUUGCUCCUGGAUUCAGCGGCGGACGGGUGAGUAAUGCCUAGGAAUCUGCCUGGUAGUGGGGGAUAACGUCCGGAAACGGGCGCUAAUACCGCAUACGUCCUGAGGGAGAAAGUGGGGGAUCUUCGGACCUCACGCUAUCAGAUGAGCCUAGGUCGGAUUAGCUAGUUGGUGGGGUAAAGGCCUACCAAGGCGACGAUCCGUAACUGGUCUGAGAGGAUGAUCAGUCACACUGGAACUGAGACAUGGUCCAGACUCCUACGGGAGGCAGCAGUGGGGAAUAUUGGACAAUGGGCGAAAGCCUGAUCCAACCAUGCCGCGUGUGUGAAGAAGGUCUUCGGAUUGUAAAGCACUUUAAGUUGGGAGGAAGGGCAGUAAGUUAAUACCUUGCUGUUUUGACGUUACCAACAGAAUAAGCACCGGCUAACUUCGUG